rnacentral:misc_RNA from 1 species
GUUGGAUUCUUGUUGUGGGCCAUAUACUUGAGUGGCAAUGAGUUACAGAGAAGCAUUCAAGCAUCCAAUAUCUGCACAAAAUCACAAUCUUUAUUGUUCUUUUGUGUGCAACUCCCUGAAAAAGUGGGUAUGAUUGUUGAUGUUCUUCCUCAGUCACAAUCUUUAGUCCAAAUUAUACCAUUCUGUGAUUUUGUUCUGCUGUAAUUUUAUAAUCAAUGCAUG